UCCCUGGAUGUUCAGUGGUUAGGACUCGGCACUUUCACUGCUGGGGCCUGGGUUCAAUCCCUGGUCAGGGAA
rnacentral:tRNA from 1 species